AUACGGAGGGGGCUAGCGUUGUUCGGAAUUACUGGGCGUAAAGCGCACGUAGGCGGACCAGAAAGUUGGAGGUGAAAUCCCAGGGCUCAACCUCGGAACUGCCUUUGAUACUGGGUGUCUAGAGUGUGGAAGAGGUAAGUGGAAUUCCGAGUGUAGAGGUGAAAUUCGUAGAUAUUCGGAGGAACACCAGUGGCGAAGGCGGCUUACUGGUCCAUUACUGACGCUGAGGUGCGAAAGCGUGGGGAGC
rnacentral:rRNA from 1 species